rnacentral:lncRNA from 1 species
CUAUAAGACUCUAGGUUCAGUGGCUGGGUCCUGUUGAAGGGUCCCAAGCAUGUGAAGAUUUCCUGGAGAACAAUUUGUUCCAACAGCCAGGAAGGCGGCUGAGG